rnacentral:rRNA from 1 species
GGUACCCAAGGAGGAAGCCCCGGCUAACUACGUGCCAGCAGCCGCGGUAAUACGUAGGGGGCAAGCGUUGUCCGGAAUUAUUGGGCGUAAAGGGCGCGUAGGCGGAUGCUUAAGUCCGGUGUGAAAGAUCAGGGCUCAACCCUGAGAGUGCAUCGGAAACUGGGUAUCUUGAGGACAGGAGAGGAAAGUGGAAUUCCACGUGUAGCGGUGAAAUGCGUAGAUAUGUGGAGGAACACCAGUGGCGAAGGCGACUUUCUGGACUGUAACUGACGCUGAGGCGCGAAAGCGUGGGGAGCAAACAGGAUUAGAUACCCUGGUAGUCCACGCCGUAAACGAUGAGUGCUAGGUGUAGAGGGUAUCGACCCCUUCUGUGCCGCAGUUAACACAAUAAGCACUCCGCCUGGGGAGUACGGCCGCAAGGUUGAAACUCAAAUGAAUUGACGG